rnacentral:rRNA from 1 species
AUGGCUACAGACAAGACUAGGCUUGCAGAAGAGAAGUUGGCUUCCGUCAACAAACUUGAAGAAGAAAACACUAAUCUGAAAGCUGCUCUUGACGUGACCAACCAAGAAGUCACUCGACUGAAGAAUGCCAAUAUGGUCCUGGACGACAAAGCUGGCGAACUGGCAGGAAAGAAGAAUGACUUGGAGCUUUAUCUGGGAGGGCUCGCCAAAAAACUGUUCCUCAUGCUCGAAGAAUUCUGCCAAAACUUUGAAGAGGAGACUAGUCGAGUGGAGACUGGCUUGGAUCCCAUCAAUUCUCUGAUGAAGGAUUAA